GUGCUCUUUUCAGCAGUACAUACACUAAAAUUGGAACAAUACAGAGAACAUUAGCAUGCCCCAGCGCAAGGAUGACAUGCAAAUUAGUGAAGUGUUCCAUAUUUUA